rnacentral:tRNA from 1 species
GUCUUCGUAGUGUAACGGUAGCACACUUGACGCGUAUUUGAGAGUUCCGGGGUUCGAGUCCUAGCGAGGGCA